UACUUCCCUAAAAACCAGAUUUGCCCUAAAAAUUAGAUUUGCUUCCUCCUUGUUAGCUCUGAAUUUUUAGAAGCAAGAGCAUGUUCUAUCCCUUCUCCUCCACCUGAUUAAGUGAAGAAAUCAGCAACAAUUUCCUUUCCUUUGGCCUGGAAAUCGAUUAAGAACUGCCCCAAAAACCCAAUUUUAUUCCCCAAAAUUAAUUUUUUUCCAGGUGUUUUGGUUUUGGGUGUAACAAAGCACCCUAAAACUUUGAAGCUCCAAACUAUCGGCGGUGGUCGAUAAUGGAGGCAUUGAAGGUUUCAAAAGCUAAUUUGGUUGUUUAUCUUCACCCCUCGAAGACCAAAGCCGUUCCAGAUUCCGUUAAGCAGGAACUUAGUUCUCUAUUAUUCAAGUUCAGUGAAAGUUUUGAUGGUGUUUUAUUGGCUUAUGAGGUUGUGGAUGUUCCAAGUAAACGCGGGAAAAUUUUAAGUGGCCUGAAUCCUUAUGUUGGUGUUAGAGUAUCGGCCAAACUUUUACUUUUUUCUCCAAAGCCAGAUAUGUAUUUAGAAGGUAAAGUUGUAAAGGUGGCAGAAGAAUCAAUUCAUGUUGUUGCUCUUGGAUUUUCAGCUGCUAUUAUCACACAAGAAGACAUUCGUGAUGAAUUUGAAUUUAAAGUUAAACAUGGAAAAGAAGUGUUCAGGAGCAAAUUAAAUAAGCUUCAUAUAAUUAAAGUUGGAUCAUUGAUACGUUUCGUAGUCAAGAGUUUUGAUGAGGAAACAAUCCACAUAUCUGGGUCCCUGAUUUCACCUACUACUGGAAGUAUACACGUGUUGAACAAGAACUUACCGGAAACUGUGUUAACUAACAGGAAACAGAGGGAAAAUGAAGGAAUAAUAGAGGAGCUCCAUAGUGGAGCAGUUGAUGGAGGAGAAAUUUCUGAUGAUUAUCACAUAUUGAGGAAAUCUAAGAGAAAAAGAGGGCAUCAUUGAAGCCGUAUUAAUUUUUGACAAUCUAAAGAUAGGUGUUGAAGGGGCUUGAGAGUGUGGGUGUUGCUUAUCUGCAUUAGACAGUUGGAUAUUUGAAGUAUACAAAAGAAAAUCUAAUAUUUGAAUUAGAUCCGUCUGCUUGUUGGAGACGACGCUCAAAUCACAUUAUUAGGUGAAUGUGCUGAGUUCAAGUUGAAAAGAAAAGAAAUGUAACAACGGAGUAGAUUGUAGAACAAAAUUACGGGAAUUAUGUAAAAUUGUUGGCCCAAAAUUUUGGAAAUUUGUGAACUCGAUAGGAUAACGGCUAAGUAAGUUUUGUUCGUUACUUAACAUUUACCUUUCAAUUAUUUUUGAAGCAUGUUGUUAAGUGUAUGGAGUUUGAAACUGGAGUUGCCUUUGUGGAAAAAAUUAUUUUAGAUGGGUUUAGGGGUCAAUUUGUUUUUAUUGGGUUAUGAUCCAUUGAUAAUUUGCAAAAUUAGGUUUUGGUGACA